CUACGGGUCGCACCAGUGAGGAAUAUUGCACAAUGGGGGGAACCCUGAUGCAGCAACGCCGCGUGGAGGAUGACGCAUUUCGGUGUGUAAACUCCUUUUAUAUGUCAAGAAAAUGACGGUAGCAUAUGAAUAAGCACCGGCUAACUCCGUGCCAGCAGCCGUGGUAAUACGGAGGGUGCAAGCGUUACUCGGAAUCACUGGGCGUAAAGGACGCGUAGGCGGGUUGGAAAGUCAGGUGUGAAAUCCUACAGCUUAACUGUAGAACUGCACUUGAAACUUCUAAUCUAGAGUAUGGGAGGGGGAGAUGGAAUUAGUGGUGGAGGGGUAAAAUCCGUAGAUAUCACUAGGAAUACCUAAAGCGAAGGCGAUCUCCUGGAACAUUACUGACGCUAAGGCGUGAAAGCGUGGGGAGCAAACAGGAUUAGAUACCCGCAGUAGUC
rnacentral:rRNA from 1 species